GUCGGCAUAGCUCAACUGGAUAGAGCAUCAGUUUGCGGAACUGAAGGUUACAGGUUCAAGUCCUGUUGUCGACGCCAU
rnacentral:tRNA from 1 species